CAUCCUCUUCGACCUACUCCCCUGUUCCUUCCUUCGUUCGUACCAUCGCCCACCGAUGGGAGCUCCCCUUGCGUUCCGCUGCCGCCCCGAGACGUCGCCUUCCCUUUCGAUCUCCGCCCAGCACGAGCCCGGCCGUACCAUCUAAGCUCCGCCCACUACAAGCUAUGCCCAGAUUAUAAUCGCCUCUCAUCCCCCACCCCAUCGAACCCAACUCCAUAGCCGCCGCAUCACAUUGCCCCCAUGUCUCAGAUCCAGCAUCUAGGAACCUCCAUCGGCCGGCUUUUCGACUCUCCAGGUUGGCUUUCUCGUCCUGUACUCCCACUCUACGGUCAUAGAGGGGACACCAAUGCACACGAAUCUGAAGUAUUUUCCCUUCCACGGGAAGAAUUCAGUGAUACUGUAGCUCGCCAGUCGACGGUUUCAUGCGUCCGAAAUAUUUGCAGUCACGGCCAAAGUAACCUCUCUGAGUUUCUGAACUGCAUCUGCAUGUACAACUCUGCCAGCGCAAGUCUUCUGACAAUGCGCAGCAAACAGAAAAUAUAACAGUGGCAAAGAGCUGUUCCAUCAUACGAGAAAAUACUACCAGGAUAUUGGAUGAUCAUUGAGGAAUCAGCAAAUCGAGUGUGGAUGUAAAAGAUAUUGUGUAUCGGCUUAUCUACAUUAAAGAACUAAGAAGACACAAAUGAGAGUGAAGGAAGCGCCUCAGGGGGUGAGGAUGUUGCGACUGGCGAGAGUAUUGGAGGAAAGGUACAGCUUGCCUCCCACAUUCAAACCUCCAGAGGCUGCAUCCACCAAGAAAGUUAAAAGAAUUUUAAUAUAAGCACUUCUCCCAGGCUCCCAAGGUUGCAUUUCAGUACUGUGAUGUGCCGUCGAGAGGGGCAAUGGCGAGAGGAUUUGGUCAAAGAGAGAGAAAAGAGAAUGAUAUAGAUGGUGAGAUUGAAUGCAGCUUCCAGUGACGUUGAGAUUAAAAGUCACCGCUGGACUUUGGCGACAUCUCGUCAUCCAAAGCCAAUCCAACGGACAGGAGUUGAGCAAUC